UACGAAGGUUGCAAGCGUUAUCCGGAAUUAUUGGGCGUAAAGCGUCUGUAAACUGUUUAUUAAGUCGAAUAUUAAAUAUAUGGGCUCAACCCAUAUGCUGUAUUCGAUACUGAUAGACUUGAGAUCGGUAGAGGUAAUAGGAAUUCCUGGUGUAGUAGUGAAAUGCGUUAAUAUCAGGAAGAACGCCAAUUGUGUAAACUUAUUACUGGGCCGAUUCUGACGUCCAGAGACGAAAGCGUGGGGAGCGAACGGG
rnacentral:rRNA from 1 species